rnacentral:lncRNA from 1 species
UCACGUUUUAUCCAAAAUUGUUAUCCUUAUUGUACCAUACAACCCCUUAACCUCUUUUUGAGCCAAUCAUGGCCUAAGAAUUGCAAGAAAAAGAAACCCAACCAAUGAACUAUCUGAUAUUUGUCACGUGGUACAGUGGUAUUAUUGGAAUUGUUCCAUGGCAAUGUGCAGUCAAUUUCACCGUCCUCCUUUUUUCACAUUCCGCCAAAAAUUUAAUUUCCAAAUACAUAAAUAAUUCUCCUCUUCCCCUCCUUUCCUCCCACUCUUACCCACCAUGCGAAUCUAAGAUUUUUAGUAUAUGAAUACACGGUUAAAAAAAAUGUAUUAAGUGGAUUUAG